AACCGACCUGGCUCACACCGGUUUAAACUCAGAUCAUGUAAAAUUCUAAAGGUCGAACAGACCCAAUUUGUCAACACCUACACCAACAAUUAAUUUUAAUCCAACAUCGAGGUCGCAAUCUUUUCUUUCGAUAAGAGCUCUAAAAAAAAUAACGCUGUUAUCCCUAAGGUAAUUUUCUCUUUUAAUCUUUAUCUAAGGAUCAUAUACACAUAUAUUAAUGUAUAAAUAAAAAAAAAGUUCAUCAAAUUUUUAAAUCACCCCAACCAAAUACUUUUAAAAAUAAAAGCCCAUACUAUCCUAAAAAUCAUUUUAUUUAUUAAAAUAUUAAACUCUAUAGGGUCUUCUCGUCUUCAAUAUAUAUUUAAGCUUUUUAACUUAAAAAUAAACUUCUAAUAAACUUUAACAGAGACAGAAAUCCUUUCAUCAAACCCUUCAUUCAAGCUUCCAAUUAAAAAACUAGUGAUUAUGCUACCUUUGCACAGUCAAAAUACCGCGGCCAUUAAACUUCAUCAUUGGGCAGGUCAGACUUAAAAUUAUUACCAAUAAGCCAUGUUUUUAAUAA
rnacentral:rRNA from 1 species